rnacentral:rRNA from 1 species
AACGAACGCUGGCGGCAUGCCUAACACAUGCAAGUCGAACGAACCCUUCGGGGUUAGUGGCGCACGGGUGCGUAACGCGUGGGAAUCUGCCCUUUGCUUCGGAAUAACUCAGGGAAACUUGUGCUAAUACCGGAUGAUGUCUUCGGACCAAAGAUUUAUCGGCAAGGGAUGAGCCCGCGUAGGAUUAGGUAGUUGGUGGGGUAAAGGCCUACCAAGCCGACGAUCCUUAGCUGGUCUGAGAGGAUGAUCAGCCACACUGGGACUGAGACACGGCCCAGACUCCUACGGGAGGCAGCAGGGGGGAAUAUUGGACAAUGCGCGCAAGCAUGAGCCAGCAAUGCCGCGUGAGUGAUGAAGGCCCUCGGGUCGUAAAGCUCUUUUACCAGGGAUGAUAAUGACAGAACCUGGAGAAUAAGCUCCGGCUAACUCCGU